rnacentral:rRNA from 1 species
GAUUAACGCUGGCGGUGUGUCUAAUACAUGCAAGUCGAGCGAUCCCGAUUUAUCGGGAAAGCGGCGAACGAGUGAGUAACACGUUGGUACCUACCCCGAACUCAGGGAUAAGCAUCGGAAACGGUGUCUAAUACCGGAUGGUUGCCGAUUUAUCGGCAUAAAGAUUUUUCGGUUUGGGAGGGGCCUACGGCCUAUCAGUUAGUUGGCAGGGUAAUGGCCUACCAAGACUACGACGGGUAGCUGGUCUGAGAGGAUGAUCAGCCACGAUGAGACUGAGACACGGCUCAUACUCCUACGGGAGGCAGCAGUAAGGAAUCUUCCACAAUGGGCGAAAGCCUGAUGGAGCAACACCGCGUGAUCGAUGAAGCCUUUCGGGGUGUAAAGAUCUUUUCUGGGGGACGAAUUGGAACAGUACCCUAGGAAUAAGCACCG